rnacentral:rRNA from 1 species
AUGAAGGAUGCUGCUGUGAGCCAUGCCACCCCAUCAGCAAGCGUCGAAGUGGAUGCUCCCGAGACCAACCUAGGCAAGGAAGAUUCCCGCUCAUCUGACACUGAUUCCAAGCGCGUGCCUGGUGUCUCACCUGUGUCCAUGACAGAAGCGGCUGAGGCGGCACUUCACAAGGAUAUGCCAUCUGCAGAUGAGAAUCCUGGCACAACAGCUCCAGCUCCUGUCGGUGGAGAUACUGCUAAGGCGACCGUUCCGCGUGCUGGUCUUCCACCUAGGCGUCGUAGCCCCCGCAAGCAAUCAACAGACAUACCCAACGCUCCGGCUGUAGCUAGGAGCAGGAGAGACGAAUCUUGUUAUGUUCCUGCAUCCACACUGUUCCUGCCACCUGCAAAAAUCAAUUUGAUGGAGAAACCGCAAGACCGGAGCACAACUGAUGCAGGUGUCAAGCCGGGCACGAGUGACGCAGAGGAACGCCCGGAGCAGACUGCGCCUUCACCCGCAGCGGAAAUCCCCAGCAUAAAUCUGCGCACUUCCAGGCUCCCAGUCAAUGUCGGUGUCCCCUACAGUCCAAACAAGAAGAUUGUCAUGAAAGCUGCGGCUGAGACCGCUGACAACACGCCCCGCUCUGCAAAUAAGGCCGAUCAUUUUGUAGCGGCCGAUUCAGAUAUGUUUGUCGAUCUUUCACCCUUGGAUUCUGCCCCGAAAGUCAUUCGUGGUCCGGCCAGUAGGAAUGAGAGGCACCCAAUGGCCUUUACCCCACCAAGCUUCAGCCUCGGCGUCAGUCAAGAUCAACCGGUGGUGCACGAUCCUAUACCAGUUGCCUUUGCUUUCCCAGGAGGCAUGCUCGCAAUGAUGGCGCAACCAAUGGUCGAGGGCAGGAAGGCUGUCAAGUUCGCAGAGCCAAUUGUGCAAGCCACCCCUGAGGAGAUUUCACCGUCACUUGAUGAAGUUUACCGCAUGAUCGAGGAGACAGCAUUGCAGAGGAGUUCCUCACGAGGGCAAGGGCAAUCAAGUUCCAAUGUGCCUGCAGAUACGGUAUCUGAGGAUACCAUUAGGAGUGUCACCCCUGGUCCUGUGAGGCAGCAGAGGGUAGUUCACCCACCCCCCGCGGAAGACUACGAGCCCGAAUUCAGGGCCACUAAGGAACAGACCCAGCUGUACGAUAUCGUCAAGCGUUUUGGAAAUGCGAGGACCAACAGCAAGCACAUGAAGGAGCUGAAAGCGUAA